UGUUUGCAUUCUAAAAUAUCAGGAACGAACCAGAACGUGAUGCAGGCUCAAACGUCACCGGAUGUAAUGUGUUCACAAAGUGCUUCAUUGCGCAUGUUUGACGGUGAACUGCAUUGCGUCUUCUUCAGGCUCAAAGCACGAGGUUUGCACUAGCAUUGUUUCCAGAAAACGUAAAUUUUAACCGCUAUGAUGAAUGAACAUUACGCAGCUGACUAGCCAAGUUUGAUACCAAAGCC